rnacentral:pre_miRNA from 1 species
AAUAAACCAAUUUUUUAUUUUUUACCUAUAAUCUUUGACUCUUCAUCUUAUUCAAAUUUUUUUGCGAUUGAUAUUUUUAUUUUUAUUAGAUGAUAUAUCAUAAAUAGUACUUUACGUGUGACUGAUUUUUUUUCUAAUUUCAUAAAAAUUUUUUAAAUAAGACGGAUGGUCAAACGCUGGGCACAAAAACCAAAG